rnacentral:rRNA from 1 species
GGAAAGAGAAAAGAACUUUGAAAAGAGAGUUAAACAGUAUGUGAAAUUGUUAAAAGGGAACCGUUUGGAGCCAGACUGGCUUGAUUGUAAUCAACCUAGAAUUCGUUUUGGGUGCACUUGCAGUCUAUGCCUGCCAACGACAGUUUGAUUUGGAGGAAAAAAUUAAUAGGAAUGUGGCCUCUCGAGGUGUUAUAGCCUAUUAUCAUACUCUGGAUUGGACUGAGGAACGCAGUGAAUGCCUUUAGGCAAGAUUGCUGGGCGCUUUCGCUAAUAAAUGUUAGAAUUUCUGCUUCGGGUGGUGCUAAUGUUUAAAGGAGGAACUCGUUUAGUAUAUUUUUUAUUCGCUUAGGUUGUUGGCUUAAUGACUCUAAAUGU